GGGGGCGCGUCCGAGUCGGAGGCGGCUGCUCCGGCUCCAGCGGAGGAGUAAGAUGCUGCCCCCCGCGCUUAGAUCCACCAAGAACUGAUGCUAUUUUGGCACUUAAUUGGAGAUUAUUUAUGAUUCCUUCCGCUGAUGAUCACUAGUACCUCUAUAUGUAUUAGGAAUGUUCGCUUGGCUUGAGAUGAUGAAUUGAUGUUUAUUACCUGAACCUGGUACCUUGUUACAAAUGUGUUGAAGCUAUAUAGGUCCAUGUUAUCGUCUGCGCUCACACAUGUAUGAAGCCAUAAUCUGUUUGCUCCUUGUUUGCAUGAGUCAGAUGUUCUGAUUAUUUGGCUGUAUAUGCGUUAGUGCUUCCAGAGUUCAGGAGUAUGUACUAUAUUUUCAUUUAAACCUGGGGGUAUGCCAGUUCUACUAUUACUGUGGAUUGGUUUGGUAGUAAAGAAGGGAACUACCUAGUUCUUCAAUCUUAAUAAUCUAAAUGGAGCUACAAAAUCUUCUAAUAAGUUACAUGGUUUGUCAUAAAUUGGAAGAGGUGUUUAUGGAAUUUGAAUUCAAGUAUUCAAUUAGUACUGUAUGUUAGAUGAUACAACAGGUGGCAUUUCAAUGAAGAAUACCGAAGUGCAAGAAGAUGAAGGCACAGUGCAUAUGAAGGCAGGUGGCAUUUCAAUGAAGAAUACCAAACUGCAAGAAGACGAAGGCAUAGUACAUUCAUCUCUUCAGGAAACUAUUACACCGGUUUGAGAAGUUAGAUUUACACAUUGAAGAUUUGAAAUUAGUCCUGGAUGAAAACUACAGCUUACCAUCAAUUUUUUUUAUUUCUCUGCUAUUCAUUUGGCCUAUUGUUAUGCUGUACAUGAAAAUGACCUAGACUGCAUUGCUUAGAUUGGAAAAGGUACCAAUUCUCCAGACCUGCCUGUCUGUUAUGAGUUUCAGCGCAUAAAGGACAGUGUUAUCUAUUCUGCGUGUAUUUGCCAAUCGGAGGAUCUGACUCAAACUGCUUGAAUAUUAUGGAACCUUCUCUUGUCUGUAGGUUAUCCAUUUUCAUGACAUUCUGAUUACUUUCAAGCAGUUGCAUUGCUUAAUGAAUUAUUUGCUGCAAGGGGAUUAGUCUCAGCACCUGUAAAUGCUGGUGAUGUUUAAUUUUUGAGUAAAUAGCAGUUUGGGC
rnacentral:lncRNA from 1 species